GAUGAACGCUGGCGGCGUGCCUAAUACAUGCAAGUCGAGCGAAGCGAGAACGGUUGAGUAACGCGUAGAUAAACUGCUAUACCACUGGGAUAACGUCGGAAAACCGGUGCUAAAGCGGAUACUUGUAGGUGGAUACGCGCUGCAUUAGCGAUUGGGGAAGGUAACGGCUUACCAAGGCAACGAUGCAUAGCCGACCUGAGAGGGUGAUCGGCCACACUGGAACUGAGACACGGUCCAGACUCCUACGGGAGGCAGCAGUAGGGAAUCGUCCGCAAUGGGCGAAAGCCUGACCGAGCAACGCCGCGUGAGUGAUGAAGGUCUUCGGAUCGUAAAACUCUGUUAUUAGGGAAGCGGUACCUAAUCAGAAAGCCACGGCUAACUACGUGCCAGCAGCCGCGGUAAUAC
rnacentral:rRNA from 1 species